rnacentral:rRNA from 1 species
UACGGAGGAUGCAAGCGUUAUCCGGAAUGAUUGGGCGUAAAGCGUCCGCAGGUGGCUGUGUAAGUCUGCUGUUAAAGAGUCUAGCUCAACUAGAUAAAAGCAGUGGAAACUACACGGCUAGAGUACGUUCGGGGCAGAGGGAAUUCCUGGUGUAGCGGUGAAAUGCGUAGAGAUCAGGAAGAACACCGGUGGCGAAAGCGCUCUGCUAGGCCGCAACUGACACUGAGGGACGAAAGCUAGGGGAGCGAAUGGG